CCUACGGGGGGCAGCAGUGGGGAAUAUUGGGCAAUGGGCGCAAGCCUGACCCAGCAACGCCGCGUGAAGGAAGAAGGCUUUCGGGUUGUAAACUUCUUUUCUCAGGGACGAAGCAAGUGACGGUACCUGAGGACUAAGCCACGGCUAACUACGUGCCAGCAGCCGCGGUAAUACGUAGGUGGCAAGCGUUAUCCGGAUUUACUGGGUGUAAAGGGCGUGUAGGCGGGAAAGCAAGUCAGAUGUUAAAACCAUGGGCUCAAACUGUGGCCUGCAUUUGAAACUGUUUUUCUUGAGUACUGGAGAGGCAGACGGAAUGCCUAGUGUAGCGGUGAAAUGCGUAGAUAUUAGGAGGAACACCAGUGGCGAAGGCGGUCUGCUGGACAGCAACUGACGCUGAGGCGCGAAAGCGUGGGGAGCAAACAGGAUUAGAUACCCCAGUAGUC
rnacentral:rRNA from 1 species